UACGGAGGGGGCUAGCGUUGUUCGGAAUUACUGGGCGUAAAGCGUACGUAGGCGGCUUUGUAAGUUAGAGGUGAAAGCCCGGGGCUCAACUCCGGAAUUGCCUUUAAGACUGCAUCGCUUGAAUCAUGGAGAGGUGAGUGGAAUUCCGAGUGUAGAGGUGAAAUUCGUAGAUAUUCGGAAGAACACCAGUGGCGAAGGCGGCUCACUGGCUCGAUACUGACGCUGAGGUGCGAAAGCGUGGGGAGCAAACAGG
rnacentral:rRNA from 1 species